UGCUCAUCCAGAGGGACUGAGGGAUACGGCCCGUUGAAGUCCCGGCAACCCUCCCCGUGGAGGCCCCGUCCUGGGGCCGCUCGCGGCGGAACGGUGCCAAAUCCGUCCCACGCCGAGAUCCGGCGCCCGGGGAAGAUGAGGA
rnacentral:ncRNA from 2 species